ensembl:lncRNA
CAAUUUCCAUAAGGUGAAUACAGAAAGGAACUACAAGCAUUGGAAAUGAAUGGGGGAGUUUAAUUCAGCCGCGUUUCACUCCCACUGAGGAGGCAUACAGAUGGCUGCACAGAACUCAGCAAAAACAGAGCCAGGAGUCAGGGAGAGGGAGACUUCAACUGGGGUUUCGAGUGGAGUUGCUCAUUUAUUUCCCCCUGUAUCAGUCUGCCUCCUGGGAUAUCGCAUGGACAGCUGGCCUAGGCAGGAUUUUGCAAAAGGAAAGAAGAAUAUUCACACUAAGGUCCCUGAAGCCACACUUCUGCAAACUAGCAGCUACCAAAAAGGUCAUCACUGGCUGCAGUCCCUGAAGGUUGUCCCUCUCCUGGCUCUGGUUACCCAUGAGGUCACCACAUACAUCCUCAAGGACACCUCGUCACAUCUCCCAUGCCAGUGUCUACCACUCUUUGCCAAGGUAUACAACUGGUAGACUCUGCAGAAAGAAACUAGCAACAAGGAAACUGCAUGCAGUUUUUCUAAAAUGGAGUUUUGCUAUGAAGAAUGUGAUUAAAGCUCUCAUAUGAGAGCAAGAACCAAAUUCCUGAAUGAUUUCUAUUAGGAGACAAUGGACUAGAGAAGUAACUCCAUGGAUUCAGUAGGAGUACACAAGGGAUAGGGUCAAAACAAGUAUUCUCAUUUUGACUGGACUCCCUGCUUCAGAAUUCUGUAUUUGGAGCACUUCAGGAGAUGCCCGAAGUUUCUACUACCAUACUUAAAGAGUCACCAAAGCAGGAAAUGUGAGCUCAUGCCAGCUUUCUUAGGGGGAAAAAGAAGAUCUUCAAACCAACAGUAUAAUUCUAGCAUCUCCAGAAAUGCUAAAGCCCUGACAAUUGUCUGAAGAAAAGUGUUGCAACACAGGCAUAAAUUCAACCUUUAUGAGACAUUAUACAGAAAGAAGACUCCAGAAGAGUAGAUGGCCUGUGUCUUCACUUCUCUGGAGCAGGCUGAUUUCAUUUGACUGCCGCAGUACACAGCAUCCAAUCCUGUGUCUCUGCCAAGACCUUUACUGCCCUGAGACAUAAUUAUUACUCUUGGGAAUUUUUUCAUCUAUAAUGUGAGGAAUGAAUCACAGACCAGCAGACAAGUCAUUUUUGGCAUGAACUUGAAUUGCAUAGCCGGACACAUCUGGCUCUGUAAAAUGCAGAGCAGUAUCAGUCUUCAUACCUGGCAGGAUCUAUUCUUGUUCUGAGCUGUUCCCAAAACUCUAUGUAUCAGGGUUUGUUUUGGAGAGCAAUUCAAAUAAGGACCUUGAAAGGAACUAACUUGCUUAGACUGCAAGCAGUUAAAGGACUAUAUAACCCAGAACUAAACUGUGAGAUAAGGCUUUUUGGUAAAGUAGAAUCACUGCUGGGUUGAGCACUCCAAGUACGCUAAAUUAUUUUUUGGAGAAAAGUCUGAAGUGCUUCAUGCCACUGCUCAGUUUGCCAGUGUCCACUGCAAAGAUGAGAUCCCUCCUGGAGACUGUCGCACCACUCUGCACUCACACGACAUCCAUGGGAACUGGCGAGCACCAACAAAGAUUGUGCAGAGAGGCCUAAAAGGAUCUGGCCACACCUAGCCACAGUGCCUGCUUGUCACCCAGAGCCUUUGGUGGAAGUGGAUUUCUUCAGGCAGUGGAGGAAGAUUCACUUCAUACUUCUGCUGUGAAUUCCUGCCUUCUCAUUGUACCUCUAGUACUGCCUUCAUACGAUGAAUUGAGUUACCAUAUGAUUUAGGCUGUCUGGAGCAUCGUAACACUUGUACGCUCACUUCCACAGUCUCCUGCCAAUGAUAAAACAUGAUGUAAUGAGAAGAUGGCAGACAGGCAACUACAAAAAUCGUUUGGAUGAAAAGGAUAUAACGAAAGCAUUGAGACAAACCUAGACAGGAAAGCUACUGUGUCAUAUCUCCUUCAGUCGUAAGUGUGAUGAGAACAUAGGAUGAAAGGACAUCUUUGCUGCAAUUAAAACCUUUAUGAGAAGAGGCUAUGGGAAAAAAAUGUCUUGGAGAAACAAACUAAGGUGACUCAGAGGAGUAACUAAUGUCAGUACUCUCAUUUCACUGCAACUCUAAGAUCCUGAGUGGCCAAACUAGACGACUACUUAGCAUGUGAUAUAAUGAUCAUAGCCCAAGGACAUUCACAACACUUUUCUGUAAUUGCUGCUGCAAUACCUGUGAUUCUAACAACACACAGAAUCCCUCUACAUUUACAUGGUCAAAUCAUCUGUUUUAGGUAAUUGUGCCAUGAGUAGCAUAUGUGUUCUGUUUCAUCUUGAUGCCAAAAUGAGAACUAAUACAUUUAAGAAGUAAAAAAAAUAUAAAGGAUACUGCAUUUUUAGCAAUGUCGAAAUUCUCGAAUAGUAAAUGAUUGUGAUAAGAACCCACAACUGUUACCUAAAGACGUUGCCCAGUGUUUAACUGAACGUUUGUGGAUGAAGCUUUAUGAUAAGAAACACAUCUUAACGUUCUAUAUCAUUUCUUCUGGGAAAUCAUUCCUAGAAUUUCUGUACAAUAUAUAUUUUUUUCCUUUCAUGUAAGUUCUUAAAAGUGGCAUUACAAACCUCCAAGAAACACUGUUUACAUCACCAUUUGCUCACAACAGAUUAUUGGUUACUGGCAAAAUUAUGUUCUCAUGGAGGCUCAAGGGAGGCCUCAUGGCGGCUGCAGCUCCUCACAGGGAGCAGAGGGCAGUGCUGAGCUCUGCCCUCUGACAGCGACAGGGCCCGAGGGAACGGCAUGGAGGUGUCAGGGGAGGGGCAGCUGGGGG